GGACAACAGGCUUAUAGCUUUUAAAAGUUCAUAUUGACGAAGCUGUUUGGCACCUCUAUGUCGACUCGUCGCAGCCUGAUGCUGAAAAAGGUAUCAAAGGUUUGGCUGUUCGCCAAUUAAAGCGUCACGUGAGUUGGGUUCAGAACGAUGUGAAUCAGUUUGGUCUCUAUCUGCUUUAAUUGUUUAAAAAUUUAGAAGGUUUAUUUUUAGUACGAGAGGACCAAAAUAAAAAAAUCUAUGAUGCAUCGAUUAC
rnacentral:rRNA from 1 species